GUGGGGAAUUUUGGACAAUGGGCGCAAGCCUGAUCCAGCAAUGCCGCGUGCAGGAAGAAGGCCUUCGGGUUGUAAACUGCUUUUGUACGGAACGAAACGGUCCGGGUUAAUACCCUGGGCUAAUGACGGUACCGUAAGAAUAAGCACCGGCUAACUACGUGCCAGCAGCCGCGGUAAUACGUAGGGUGCAAGCGUUAAUCGGAAUUACUGGGCGUAAAGCGUGCGCAGGCGGUUUUGUAAGACAGGCGUGAAAUCCCCGGGCUCAACCUGGGAAUUGCGCUUGUGACUACAAGGCUGGAGGGCGGCAGAGGGGGAUGGAAUUCCGCGUGUAGCAGUGAAAUGCGUAGAUAUGCGGAGGAACACCGAUGGCGAAGGCAAUCCCCUGGGCCUGCACUGACGCUCAUGCACGAAAGCGUGGGGAGCAAACAGGAUUAGAAACCCGUGUAGUCC
rnacentral:rRNA from 1 species